rnacentral:tRNA from 1 species
GCGGGAGUGGCUCAAUGGUAGAGCGCCACCUUCCCAAGGUGGAUGUUGCGAGUUCGAGUCUCGUCUUCCGCUCCA